AUUCGCUCUGCUGGAAUUUUGUAAGUGAGCCCAGGAUAUGGGAGCCAUGAUAGCUAUGUGGAAAAGGCAGCAUGUCCACAUCAGAAUGCAUGUGCAAGCAUGGGUACAUGAGGACAAAAGGAUGCCUGAAUGCCACAUCUACCUAUUUGAAAUCUUACUUUAGUACUUUGCAGACCAUAAAUACCCUUAAAGGAUUUUUCUCCCUGCUGAUUUUUUUUUUCUUUCUUUUUUUUUUUUUUUUUUUUUUUUCCUGUGGGGGAUAAUUAUGGUGGUAAUUUGGCUACAACAUUCUGAACUUGUGUGAUUUUUAGUAAGAACUACAUGGAUUUGAAUCUGUCAGCUAGUCAUAAUGCUUCCUCAAUAUUGCCCAUUUAAUGUCAAUUAUAGACAAAAAAUAGCCCACUUAUUGUCUCAUAUUAGCAUCCACAUCAAUAAUUGUGCAGAACAAAAGGCAUAAACUGAGACCAUCUGCUCUCACUACAAUAAUCUACCUAAAAAAGCUUAGUCUGUAACUCACAGUAAAAGAUUCUGAUGCAUUUAUCUGGGAUCGUGCUGCUUAAGUGUCUUUUGUGAUUAUAAUUAUUACUGCUUUGGCCCAUCAGAUAUUAGGACAUAUACUUCCUCAUUUCAGGUAAAAUAUUGUCAUUUAAUUUUUAUUACCUUAUUAAAUUAAGAUGACUUCUACUGGAUACCUAUAGGAAAAAAAACAUACUUUUAUUUUAUGCCUCAUUGUCACUUUCUUUUCUGUUGUUGUUAAGAAUAGUUAGACAUUUCUUUAAAAAAAAAAAAAAUCAUAUAUGCUGCAGAUUUUUAUUGUUUUGACAAGUGCACAAUUCUUGAGCUGUGCUAAAUGCCAAAAUAAAGCUAUAUCAAAAUAUAAAACGUUAAGCAGAAGUGCCAUCAUGACCUGAAAAGUAAGAAAGAAAAGAAUAUUUAGAAG